rnacentral:rRNA from 1 species
UACGUAGGGUGCGAGCGUUAAUCGGAAUUACUGGGCGUAAAGCGUGCGCAGGCGGUUUUGCAAGCCGGGUGAGAAAUCCCCGGGCUCAACCUGGGAAUGGCAUUCGGGACUGCAAGGCUGGAGUGCGGCAGAGGAGACUGGAAUUCCUGGUGUAGCAGUGAAAUGCGUAGAUAUCAGGAGGAAUACCGAUGGCGAAGGCAGGUCUCUGGGCUGACACUGACGCUCAUGCACGAAAGCGUGGGGAGCAAACAGG